AUACGUAGGGUGCAAGCGUUAAUCGGAAUUACUGGGCGUAAAGCGUGCGCAGGCGGUUUUGUAAGACAGUGGUGAAAUCCCCGGGCUCAACCUGGGAACUGCCAUUGUGACUGCAAGGCUGGAGGGCGGCAGAGGGGGAUGGAAUUCCGCGUGUAGCAGUGAAAUGCGUAGAUAUGCGGAGGAACACCGAUGGCGAAGGCAAUCCCCUGGGCCUGCACUGACGCUCAUGCACGAAAGCGUGGGGAGCAAACAGGAUUAGAUACCCUGGUAGUCCACGCCCUAAACGAUGUCAACUGGUUGUUGGGGAUUUAUUUUCUCAGUAACGAAGCUAACGCGUGAAGUUGACCGCCUGGGGAGUACGGCCGCAAGGUUAAAACUCAAAGGAAUUGACGGGG
rnacentral:rRNA from 1 species